UCCCAAAUAGUCUAGGCGGUUAGGAUACGUGGCUUUCACCCACGCGAACCGGGUUCGAGUCCCGGUUUGGUAA
rnacentral:tRNA from 1 species